rnacentral:lncRNA from 1 species
CGCAGGGUCCCGGGCUGCGCGUGCGCGGUGCGAGUCGGCGGUGCCACUUUUGUAGUUGGCAGGCGUUGCGUUGCGUCGCUGUAGCUGUGUUCCGUAGGGAGUUCCUCAUGUUGUGGUGACCGCCAACCAUAAAAUUAUUUUGUUGCAAGGCUGGAGAGAUGGCUCGGCAGUUAAGAGCACUGACUGUUCUUCCAGAGGUCCGGAGUUCAAUUCCCAGCAACCACAUGGUGGCUAACAACCACCUUGAAUGAGAUUUGGUGCCUUCUGCUGGCAUGCAGGCAGCAGAAGACUGUAUACAUAAUAAAUAAAAUCUUUUUUAAAAAACUAUUUUGCGGCUACUUCAUAGCUGUAAUUGUUUUUGUUUGUUUUUCGAGACAGGGUUUCUCUAUGUAGCUUUGGAGGCUGUCCUGGAACUCACUCUGGAGACCAGGCUGGCCUCGAACUCCCAGAGAUCCGCCUGCCUCUACCUCCCGAGUUCUGGAA